UCCCUUAUUUUUGUUUUUGCCCUUGCUGGAUGAGUAAUUAAUGACCUGUAUGACCACCUUUUAGUUUCAUCUUCAUGUAUAACAGAGAAACUAAGCUGUUGCCUGCCCUGCUUCCAUGAGUUACCUUAAUCAAGCUUACAUAUAUUAAGCAUGUCCUAGUUUUAUUCCUAACUGCUGUUUCUCAUCUGUUCUCCAAACUACAUCUCCUGACACUCACAAUUAAGGAAUUCACUAUUCAAAGCAAAAGACACUGAAAAUCAAUUAAUUCUUUGUAAAAGAACAAAGAACUGUCUGCAGUAUGAGGUACCAAUAGCUGGAGUGAUGAAAGGCCAGACCUAUUGCUUCAAAGGAAAGAAAUAUUGAAACCAAAAGUUUUCAAAUGGAAGGCGAAGUAGAGACUUUCAUCAGAUCUGGGUCUGGAACAAGUAAAGCUUUAGGGGCCUAGUAUAACCCUGUUAUUAUGGAUCUUCUGCCUCAGAACCACUGAAGUAGCCCUGGUUUUGCUUACCAAACAAGCCUGUUAAAUAUAAGAUAUAUUUUACACCUAAUCAAUCUCCAGCAAUAAACAACCACUUUUUUGAAAUGAGUCUUCAAUUCUUGUUUCCAGCUAUUUUUCUGUAAGUGUUUCUAGUUCAUUAAAAUGAUUGCCUAUGUCAGAUAGUAAGAGAGGCAGGCUGACUCUUAUGUUCAAAAAGACUAUACACAACAUACAGCCCCCUCACCCCCGUGCAGUCUUUUAGCAUUAGUCUAGCUACAUCAGCCUUAUCAAGCAACAGUGAGCCCUAAGGUUUUCCACCAGACAAACUUGGCUACUCGACAUGGAGUUUUUACAUUAACCUUCACACAAUGUGCAUCAGCGCAUGAAAGUUUCCCGUGUGGUGAGCUGACAGCUACACAUGCCAAAAAUCUCUCCUUCCGUGCCA